rnacentral:rRNA from 1 species
UACGGGGGGGGCAAGCGUUGUUCGGAAUUACUGGGCGUAAAGGGCUCGUAGGUGGCCAACUAAGUCGGACGUGAAAUCCCUCGGCUUAACCGGGGAACUGCGUCCGAUACUGGUUGGCUUGAGUUUGGGAGAGGGAUGCGGAAUUCCAGGUGUAGCGGUGAAAUGCGUAGAGAUGUGGAGGAAUACCGAUGGCGAAGGCAGCCCCCUGGGCCAAUACUGACGCUCAUGCACGAAAGCGUGGGGAGCAAACAGG